rnacentral:rRNA from 1 species
UUGAAAGGGAAACGAUUGAAGUCAGUCGUACUGACGGGAAAUCAACUUCUCGAGUGUUUGUCGUGAAUGACGUUGAGCUUCACGGCCUUCGUUGCUUGCUUUAUGGUGCUUUUGAGGUGUACUUUUCCGUAUGGUAGGCCAACGUCAGUUUCGAUCACUAUAAAAUGACUGGCGGAANGUAGCUUNGAUUUCNNUNGAAGUGUUAUAGCCUCUGGUAGAUGUGGUGAUUGGGACUGAGGAUUGCAACGAAUAUCCUUUGGGCUAUCCGUCUGAUCUCUGAAAGUUGCUCAGGUGCCGAAAGCGUGCUUACGGUUAUCUAAGUUAACGGUCAAUAGGUUAGAACGUGAUUACAUUCGUUAAGGAUGUUGACGUA